rnacentral:rRNA from 1 species
AUUGAACGCUGGCGGCAGGCUUAACACAUGCAAGUCGAACGAUGACUCUCUAGCUUGCUAGAGAAGAUUAGUGGCGGACGGGUGAGUAACAUUUAGGAAUCUGCCUAGUAGUGGGGGAUAGCUCGGGGAAACUCGAAUUAAUACCGCAUACGACCUACGGGUGAAAGGGGGCGCAAGCUCUUGCUAUUAGAUGAGCCUAAAUCAGAUUAGCUAGUUGGUGGGGUAAAGGCCCACCAAGGCGACGAUCUGUAACUGGUCUGAGAGGAUGAUCAGUCACACCGGAACUGAGACACGGUCCGGACUCCUACGGGGGGCAGCAGUGGGGAAUAUUGGACAAUGGGGGCAACCCUGAUCCAGCCAUGCCGCGUGUGUGAAGAAGGCCUUUUGGUUGUAAAGCACUUUAAGCAGGGAGGAGAGGCUAAUGGUUAAUACCCAUUAGAUUAGACGUUACCUGCAGAAUAAGCACCGGCUAACUCUGUGCCAGCAGCCGCGGUAAUACAGAGGGUGCGAGCGUUAAUCGGAAUUACUGGGCGUAAAGCGAGUGUAGGUGGCUCAUUAAGUCACAUGUGAAAUCCCCGGGCUUAACCUGGGAACUGCAUGUGAUACUGGUGGUGCUAGAAUAUGUGAGAGGGAAGUAGUAUUCCAGGUGUAGCGGUGAAAUGCGUAGAGAUCUGGAGGAAUACCGAUGGCGAAGGCAGCUUCCUGGCAUAAUAUUGACACUGAGAUUCGAAAGCGUGGGUAGCAAACAGGAUUAGAUACCCUGGUAGUCCACGCCGUAAACGAUGUCUACUAGCCGUUGGGGUCCUUGAGACUUUAGUGGCGCAGUUAACGCGAUAAGUAGACCGCCUGGGGAGUACGGCCGCAAGGUUAAAACUCAAAUGAAUUGACGGGGGCCCGCACAAGCGGUGGAGCAUGUGGUUUAAUUCGAUGCAACGCGAAGAACCUUACCUGGUCUUGACAUAGUGAGAAUCCUGCAGAGAUGCGGGAGUGCCUUCGGGAAUUCACAUACAGGUGCUGCAUGGCUGUCGUCAGCUCGUGUCGUGAGAUGUUGGGUUAAGUCCCGCAACGAGCGCAACCCUUCUCCUUAUUUGCCAGCGGGUUAAGCCGGGAACUUUAAGGAUACUGCCAGUGACAAACUGGAGGAAGGCGGGGACGACGUCAAGUCAUCAUGGCCCUUACGACCAGGGCUACGCACGUGCUACAAUGGUAGGUACAGAGGGUUGCUACACAGCGAUGUGAUGCUAAUCUCAAAAAGCCUAUCGUAGUCCGGAUUGGAGUCUGCAACUCGACUCCAUGAAGUCGGAAUCGCUAGUAAUCGCAGAUCAGAAUGCUGCGGUGAAUACGUUCCCGGGCCU